rnacentral:rRNA from 1 species
UACAGAGGUCCCGAGCGUUGUUCGGAUUCACUGGGCGUAAAGGGUGCGCAGGUGGGUUUGCAAGUUUGAUGUGAAAGCCCCGGGCUUAACCCGGGAAUGGCAUUGAAUACUGCAGAUCUGGAGGAUUGGAGGGGGGGACUGGAAUACUUGGUGUAGCAGUGAAAUGCGUAGAUAUCAAGUGGAACACCAGUGGCGAAGGCGAGUCCCUGGACAAUUCCUGACACUGAGGCACGAAAGCUAGGGGAGCAAACAGG